GGUCUAACACAGGCACAUUAAGGACCUGGUAGCUCAGGAGCCUUUCAACAGUAAACUGACAGAUUCUAUGUCAUGUGUGAGUGAGAGGGAGAUAACUGACAAGGUGCAGACAGCAAUACUCUGAAGAUCUCAUUUAUCUGUGAUGAGCAUCCCCAUCCACCAGAGACCAAUGGUAUUAGGUGUUUCUCCUUCUGCUCAGGACUGCUGCUGACUCCAGGGGUGAGGUGGGGACAGACGCCCAUUAACCAACUCUGCCUGCCAAGCAGCAUCAAGAUAGUAAGCCCAGAGGUCCCAAGACAUCAAUCCCAGACAGGUGGGACACAUGCUGGAGUAAAAUGGGCCUCGGGUUGUCAGCUGUGACGUGUCAACGUGUUUGACUCUGAUUGGUGUUUCUCUGGGUUUGUCGUUAUGUCACUCUCCCACUCUCCCACUCUCCCACUCUCCCCCUCUGUGGCUUGGUCAUGUAACUUUGAGCUGAAGGGUCAGCGUAAUGGUCUCACUACCAUCAGGUUUCCUCACUCUGACAGCCCAGGCUUUAUUAAACAUGAGAGCUGCUUUCCUCUUCUUUUAUUAUACAGUUUAAAAAACAUGUUAAUGUUCCGUAAAGAUAAUAAUGAGUUUGGGAAU